UACGUAGGGACCAAGCGUUGUUCGGAAUUACUGGGCGUAAAGAGUUGCGUAGGUGGCAUUGUAAGUCAGUAGUGAAAGCGUUCGGCUCAACCGAAUAAACAUUACUGAAACUGCAAAGCUAGAGGACGAGAGAGGUUAUUGGAAUUCCUAGUGUAGGAGUGAAAUCCGUAGAUAUUAGGAGGAACACCGAUGGCGUAGGCAGAUAACUGGCUCGUUCCUGACACUAAGGCACGAAAGCGUGGGUAGCAAACGGG
rnacentral:rRNA from 1 species